GCGGGGAAGCCCGGGCGUGCUGCAGUUUGCUGCCCCUCUCCGCAGGGGCGCCGCGGCGCGCAGCCCGCGCCUCUCCCCACCUGCAGCCCCUCCUCCCGCCGCUGCCGGGCGGAUAAAAGGCGCGUCCUUGCCCUUCCAGGGCCUCCUCAGGUCCUGCGGUCCCCGGUCCCCCCCACCCCCCGCGCCUUGCCUCCCUUUUCCCUCCUCCACCCCUUCCUCUUUGCCUCCCGCGCCUCCCCUCCCCCGGCUCUCCGGCCUCCCAUUCAUUCCGUCCGCUCCCUCCCCAUUCCUCCUUCCCGCUCUGGCCCUCUCCCCUAGGUCCUCCCCGCGCGGACCCCAUUGCAGUCUCGGGGUUCUUAGCACAUUCAUGGAAGUUUAGGGCCUGGAUGGUGCCCCCAAGUCCGGCCUGAGAGCGCAGCCUGAGCUGCUGGCCGGGAAGAGGAAGAUGUCUGUGCUCAAGCGGAUGAUGCGGGUCUCCAAUCGCUCCCUCCUCGCCUUCAUCUUCUUCUUCUCGCUCUCCUCGUCCUGCCUCUACUUCGUCUAUGUGGCUCCGGGCAUCGCCAACACAUAUCUCUUCAUGGUACAAGCUCGAGGAAUAAUGUUGAGAGAAAAUGUGAAAACAAUAGGGCAUAUGAUCAGGCUCUACACAAAUAAAAACACUACCCUCAAUGGCACAGAUUAUCCUGAAGGCAAUAAUUCAAGUGAUUAUCUUGUUCAAACAACAACAUAUCUUCCGGAAAACUUCACAUAUUCACCAUAUCUACCCUGCCCAGAGAAACUGCCUUAUAUGCGGGGAUUCCUCAAUGUCAAUGUAAGUGAAAUCAGUUUUGAUGAAAUUCAUCAACUCUUCUCCAAGGAUUUAGAUAUUGAGCCAGGAGGUCACUGGAGGCCUAAAGACUGUAAACCCAGAUGGAAGGUGGCAGUUCUCAUUCCUUUCCGUAAUCGCCAUGAACAUCUUCCAAUUUUUUUCUUGCAUCUGAUUCCAAUGCUCCAGAAGCAGAGGCUAGAAUUUGCCUUUUAUGUCAUUGAACAGACUGGCACACAGCCUUUUAACCGUGCAAUGCUCUUCAAUGUGGGCUUCAAAGAGGCCAUGAAAGACAGUGUCUGGGACUGCGUCAUCUUCCAUGAUGUGGAUCAUCUACCCGAAAAUGACCGUAACUAUUAUGGUUGUGGAGAAAUGCCACGUCAUUUUGCAGCAAAGCUGGAUAAAUACAUGUAUAUUCUUCCAUAUAAAGAGUUUUUUGGUGGUGUAAGUGGACUGACAGUGGAACAAUUUAGAAAGAUCAAUGGUUUUCCUAAUGCCUUCUGGGGAUGGGGAGGAGAAGAUGAUGACCUUUGGAACAGAGUUCACUAUGCUGGAUAUAAUGUAACAAGACCAGAGGGAGACUUGGGAAAAUACAAGUCUAUUCCUCAUCACCAUCGAGGUGAAGUCCAGUUUUUAGGACGGAACUCAAGGCCAAAUCUGUGAGUCACCCUCGCCUUUCUCCUCCGUACAAUCAACGUGUUAUUUCCACCUCUGAAGUCCCUCUUCAGUCUGUAGGGUGUUUUGUGUCUGCAACAACUGCAUGGAUCCUCCUGGUCUUGUCUUACUGCAAAGGCUGCAUCAAUCCCCAACCACGUCCUCGUGAUGCAGAGCAUGGCCCUGAGCCCCGAGGAGAAGAGGAUGCCGAGAGACACAAACAUGUGUUGAGGGAGCGCAGUGAAUAUUCCGUUUCUCUUCUUGGUUUAUACUGGAAACCACUGGAAAAGGUGGAAUCUUUGGCCACAUCCUUAUUUCUGAGGUUAUUGGGAAAUUGAUACAACAUGAUGAAGAUCCUUCUGGUUUUAGGGAAGUGAGAGAUGCGUGUGUUUCUGUUCUGGAGCUCAGAAGUCCGAAAUCAAGGUGUCAACUUGACACACUCCUUCUGAAACCUGUAGGGGAGAAGACUUCUGUCAAUGGCUAUCAAUCCUUGGUGUCCUUGGCUUACGGCUGGUUGUGACUCCAUUCUCUGCCUCUGUACUCUAUUUCCAAAUAAGGUCACAUUCACAGUCAGCCGACUGCGUGUCCCUUGAAGCCACAAGAUAAGCAAACCUGGGCCCUGAGUCACCAUUUGGAGGAAAGCCACCCUGGAGGUCAGCAGACGAAGAACUCCCUCAUCGGACUUGGUAAAAAGGAGGAGGGAGGUAGUAACCCGCAUUCGGUGGCCUGAAGACUGAAGAACAGUGACUGCAACUCUCACCACACAUCAGAGACCUGGAAUUGUAGAGCUGGCAGGAACAUUCUUCCCAUUUUACAGGCAAGUCAACCAGACCUCUGAGUUAGUGUUUGGCCCAAGUUUAUACAGGACAGAGCCAGGUUAGAAGUUAAGGCUUCUGUCCCCAAACCCAGAGGUUUUCCUCCCUCUAUUCCUUUGCAUUUUCUAACACGAAGAACAAGAAUGUGUUUGUAUGUGUAACAAGCAAUGAAAUAUGGAAUUAAAGCAGUGUCGGGUUCUAGUUACGAUAGCAGACUGUGGAAGGUCACGUGGGAAUUCUGAAAUACACGCAUGGGUUGGAGCUCGUUUGAGCUUCCUAAUUGGACAAAUUGUUGACCAAAGUGUUGUUCCAGUUAGUCAUGUACUUCAGGCAGGUUUAGUAGAGCUUCUGAGGCUCAGGGCCUGCAAUAGUCUAGGCGCCAGUGAGACAAGUAGGAGGAAUUUGGUUCAGGAGAGAGAUGGGGGAUGGUGAGGAGGUUUUUAAUUUUACUUAUUUUGUAUAUAGGCCUUGGAUUGAGCUUUGGACACAUCUUGGGUAAAUGUGUUUUGUUCCUAAUAUGGCAAAAGGAAGCCUUGGUUGUUUGGGGACAGGAGAAAAAAAAAAUCUGAUUGAACCAUAGUGAAAAUAAAAAUAGCAUUGAGGGCAAGAGGAGGUAACAAUCACCUAAGAAUCUCUGAAGGAGAAAAAGCAUUCCUUAAAGGCCAAGUGUCUGGCAUCACCCAGGAAAAGCUUCUUCCCUCUAAUACUGACAUUGGCCUCCAGCUCCCCUUGAUUCUUCCUCAAAACUGUAAAUGGCAUAAUCGGUGCUCAAAAUCCCACGAAGUGAAGAGGACGACUAGUUCCACAGGUAAUUUCCCAGCUCUCUUGGUGAGUGUAACAGGGCCACCUGGGUCUCCGGCGAGGGAGGAGGUGGCUGAUGCGGAAGAACAGCAUUUGUCUGGGGGUCUUGGUCAGAAGAAGUUGGCAGGGGAGGGACUCAUGGCUGGACCCGUCAGCACCAACCACUGAGGGGAGGCCCUGGGACUCGCGCUUGCCUACCUGCUCUCUCUAACUUCCCAUAUCCACUGGGCUGAUGGUCCUACUUAGUAUGCCUGACAUCAGUCCCUCUCCUUCCACCCCCAGAGCAGGCGUGUGUUUUCGCUUACGAAUUUCUAGCAUUUAGCAGAAUGUUGGACACAUAGAAAGCUUUUAUUUUCCAAAUGUUGGUUGAAUGAACACUAACACUAAGAACAGACAAGGAAGCUAACAUCUAAUGACUAGUAGCAAUGCAUCGUGGGCCCUACGGCCGUGAAUCUUCUCAUUAGGCUGAGCCCAGGGCAGACAAGGGUUCCAAGGGGCCUGAUCCUGUGUUCUAGGGUAGAGGCUGAGAGUCUAGGCGCAAAUGAUUUGUGGUGGGCACCUCUAAGCCCUGCACCAUCUAAACUAGGCUCUUUGUCUUGCUGCCCCACUUAGGAGGAGCAGCCAAAGGCAAGCUUCUUGGUAGAUGGGGAGCCCCAGAAGUCAGGCCCCUAUGGUUUUUCUGGCAACACUGUCGCCCCAAAGAACCAUCUGAUGUCAACUGAAGCAGAGAGGAUGCUUCCCUUUAAUGCUGAGCUAUUUUUGAUGCAAUUAUUUGAUCUUUAACUCUGACCAGAGUUCUGGAUUCUCUUUCCAUGUCAACCAUCUGUUUUAAAUGACUUAAGGAUUUAUGGAGAAGGAGGAGGCACUGAGAUUGGGCCCGUGGAUCACUUGGAGGUUCCUACUGCCUCAUAAGCAAAACUUAGAGUGUGAACCAAGGGUUACAAAGGUGGCUUUAUUAUUAUUGUUUUUAGCCUGACUUCUUACAGGAAGAAAGCUGAGGCACCCCUGAGGCUAAGACCAGUCUGGGCCCUGUUGGUCAUUAUUUCUCUUCAUCCCUUUACUAGACAUUGGGCGAGUUAUUUCACUGCCCGGUGCCUCAAGUUCUUCCUCUGUAAAAUGAGGAUAAUAAUAACAACUCCAAUGGGCUGUGGAGGAGGACUGAAUCGGUUAAAUAUAGAAAAGACAGCAGUCUGGCAUGUGGUGUAUGCCCGACCGGUGUUAUCUAUUAUGUUGCCAUUAUUAUCUUGAAUUCGCUGUCUAUAUAUGCAUUAGCCCCAAACACUUCUCCAGACCUCUGGGAGCCAUGUGUUUUGGAAUGAAGUGGGUUUUUUUUUUUUUUUUUUCAGAUUUUAGAGAAGUAAAAUGGUACAUCUCUGUUUCAUUACAGGGCACCCUAGGUAGGGUCUGGAGGGCUGCUAGUCAUCCAACAUAUUAACAGUUCUUUGGCAAGCAACCAUUCCUAGUCAGGGGGAACUGAAGAAGUUAAUAAGGAGCCUCAUGUCAAUUCAGGUCAUGUUACUAAAUGAGUUUCCACCAAACUUAGAAAUAAACUUUGCUUUUCAGAGUUCUAUAGCUUUCUGGCUGUAGAAAUAGGAAAGGGAAUCUGUGCUAGUUCGGUGCUUUCCUUAUGACAUUUCCAUGGCGUGUGACUGCAGACUGGGCAUUGCCUGGGAUCAACGACAACAACAAAACAAAAUACUAAAAAGCAACUCGAGUGUCUCUACGC